AAUAAUAGAAAACAAAAGGCAAACGGAAACGGUAGGCGCAAAGGCGAAGCCCCGUUGAAAGGUCGCUACCUAUUUUUAGUGAAGAAACAAAAAAAAGAACACCCCAAGGAAAAAAAUCAUUCACAGUUUCGCUUUUCUUUUUUGUUCUUUUUUUUUAAUCUAUCUCUCUCUCCCACCAUUAUUAUCUGUUGAUCGAUGUUGUUAGAUCUGAGCUCUAUUCAAAUCUGAAUCCUUUCAAUCUCUUUUCUUUUUCCAUCACAGCCAUCUAGGGUUUUAAGCCAAGCUAUAUAUAUAUAGCCCAUCAUAAAGAGAACUCAUCUGCCUCUCAAUCUCAAUACCAAUAAAUAUCACCACCUUCCUUCUCUCCCAUCACUAUUCCAUCACAUACAUACUUCUUUUUGUCUCUCUCCGUGUAGUACAUACAAUUUUAUGAGGGGGUUUCCUUAAAGAUCACUGGAAACAGACUGGAUCUUUGAACUUUUUUUGUUCCGAUCCUUUUCAUGAGGGUUUGACAAAGAGUUUCUUGCAGACUUCUUUGGCAUUCUGUCCACCUCCUUCUAUACAUAUCUGCAUGUUUGUAUGUAUGCGUUUGUGUGUGGAAGAAGGAGGUGGGUAUACUGCCAAUAGAGAUCUGUUAGGGUUUCUUUGUAAAACCCUCUUGAUCUGUACAUAACUUUAUCAAUAUCUUGAAUCUGACGGUCUUGUUUUGUAUUUUGGCGAUGACGUACGAGCUUCGAUGAUCUGGGUGUGUAACCUUUGGACUAUAUCGUAAGAAGAUUGACUAGUGGCGGUUUUAAUGUUCCGUCUUCUAGAAAAUGGUUAAAAACACUAAAGAAAAAAAGAAGAGAAGGCCCCAGAAUUUCAAAAAGGUAAUCAAGAUUUUGUUUUACUUUGAGAAAUGGUAAUGUGGGAAAGGAGAGCAUCUUGUUUUGAAGUCUACGAUGCUAUUAUGAUGUUCCCUUGUUCUAUUUGAAGUCGAAGAAACAGUAGUAGAGAUUACGUGUACUCCUUCAUUUGGUAUCAUUUCUGACCUAUAUAUAUAUACAAAGUUCAUGACCUAUAUACAAAGUUCAUGAAUUACAUUUCAUGAUA